UACGGAGGGUGCGAGCGUUGUCCGGAAUCACUGGGCGUAAAGGGCGCGUAGGUGGCUCGUGAAGCGUGCGGUGAAAGUCCGAGGCUCAACCUCGGAUCGGCCGUGCGGACUCGCGGGCUCGAGCGUUGUAGAGGCGGGUGGAAUUCCGGGUGUAGCGGUGGAAUGCGUAGAUAUGUGGAGGAAUACCGAUGGCGAAGGCAGCCCCCUGGGAUAACACUGACGCUCAUGCACGAAAGCGUGGGGAGCAAACAGG
rnacentral:rRNA from 1 species